UGAUUGUUUGCUGAUCCAGAGGGAGCAGCGCCACAGGCGGGGCAGUGACCACCACGGGCUGCAGCCUCGCGCUCAGCACACACACAGCAACGCAGGCUGCGGGAGACAGCAGCGGGGAGCAAGACUGUGAUUGGCUGCAGGAGCGCACCAGCAGGAAGCUGAUUGGAUGGCAGGAUGCAUGGGCAGAGUAUGAGCAGGAAGCUGAUUGGAUGGCAGGAUGCAUGGGCAGAGUAUGAGCAGGAAGCUGAUUGGAUGGCAGGGCACGUGGGCAGCAGCAUGGCAGCUGAGCCAGCCAAUAGGUGCCCUUCUUCUGUUCUGUUAAAUGUCGGGCUGGUUUCAGUUGUGUCAGGUUAAAAUUAAAGACACAAACAGGGGCCGAUCUCUACAAUAAAGGGAUCUCCUUCAGAUGCAUAAGGGGGUUGCUUUGCUCCCCACUGCUACAAACACACUGUUGGCUUUCUCAAGUUUCUGGAUGCACACAGGACAAGUUCUCACCCUCCUUCCUUGAAGCAGGGUUAGGAUCUAUAGUCAGCUCUUCGGAAUUAUCAAUGAAGUUAAAUUUGGAGGUUCAUUUUUAGAACUUAAAAUUUUUGCACCAGACAGAUUAUGCACUGUUGACAGGAGUGACACAACAAAAAAGGUAGAGAAAACAAAUGUGAGGAUUCUACAGCAGGAGGCAGAAAUAGCAAGAACCAAACUUCGUUCCAACAUUUGGCUUUUCUGUAACCCACACUGGUCACAGAACUGCUUGUGAAAAGAAAUAGACAUGAUGAGCUCUCCGCCGAGAUUCUGGAUCUCUGCUUUAACCUGGCUGCAGAUCUUGAGCUGGUGGGAGUACAGCUUGAUCUGUUCUAGCAAUACAGAAGAAAUGUGUACCAUUUAUGAAUGCUACAGAUGAUACACAUCAAAGGCCAGGAAACUGAAAUCAAGAACAAGACCACGAGGUUCUGUGGAAACAUUUUCGUGCCAGAAGCAUUCAGAACAGAAAAUGCAGAGUAUUGGAUAAGAAAAUUCUCCUGAAAUGUAAUUACACAACUGUACAAGGCUGUGGCAUAUCCACAGCUGCACUACCCCAGCAGACACAGUGCAGCCCUGCCCUGCACCGGCCCAGCCAAGGCCCAGAUGGAAGGAGGAAGAUUGCACUGAAUCCUGGUAUUCUUCCUCCAUUACAGACCCCAGGGGCCAUUAGAAGUGACUCCCAGGAGCACAAAACAAAGGAAAUGGUUUGUAACACAGGGUUGGUCAAUUACAGAAAUCUUUGUUACAAAAUGGUUAUAUUAAAAUUUUACAUAAGUAAAAGAAAUUACUGAACAAACAAAUGGAAAAGUUAUCAAGGACUAUUUCCCAUGUCAAGCGUAUCAAAAACAUGUUUGGUUAUGUAAAUUCUGGCAUGGCUGCUGGAGGCUGGGAGCACCAUGGAAGUCAGGCCAUGCUCUCCCGAGCUGUGUCCAUACCCAGUGAAGCCUCCUGGCAGCAGCAGGGAGCAGCAGAUCCAUGCCUGAGCUCUGGCCACAGCACUGCAGCAGAGGGUUGGGCCAGCCAGAAAAUUAAACCUCAUGCCUUGUAGCAUGUCAGAUCAGCCAUCAACAGAUGUUAGGAACAAAUGUUCUGCAGGGAGGACACUGCAUAAGGAAUCAUCUACCUAUUGCUCAGAAGCAGCUGGUACAAGCAGCACUUGCUCACCAGCAAAAUCAAACACUGGCUGCAACAGAAGGACAGUCAACAAAUUCUGAGUUUCACCAUCCCACAGGUAUGAUGGUUACCAGUUUACUGCUGCACAUUCCUGACUGGAGAGCCCAUCAGAUUCUGAGAGGUUUUUCCUCACACAUCCUGUGGGCAGCAGCUGUUGCUAACAAGGGCUUUCUGUAAGAGCAGCAUCAGAACUGACCUGCAUCCCAAAGAUGCAGUGGUAUUUUACCCAACAAAAUAUCCACCAGAACAUCCAAACAAUGUGAGAAAUUAAAAUAAUGCAGUGAUUAAAACCAGACUGAAACCAGCACUCACCAUCCAAGUGAGAAAGCCAGUGGCACAGCAGUUGCACAGGAGCUCCUGCCCACAGACCAUUGGGAGUUUGCUUUGUUCUCACUUCAUCCACUUGGCUAACAAAGGCCAAAGCAUUUCUCUAUAGAAUCCAAAUGUGUCUUCAUGGGGAUCAGCACUGGGGAUAAUCACACAGCACCUACAAUAAAUGUGUGCUGGGCACAGGCAGGAGGCAGCUUUGCUGCUCCACCAGUGGGGUUCUAUCACCCAAAGGGAUUACACAGUGUGUUACUGACCACUGUAAUUAGCUCUGACAAGCAGCAUUCUGAAUGACCCCAGCCAGGGCCUGCCUGACUGGGAGCCUAAUGGGUGCAACACAGAGGAGGCUCUUAAUGCAGACCUCACUCUUCAGCAUAUUUCAUCAACCCAGGGUGAGGUACUCACUGCCUUCAUUAUCUUAGGGCUUCCAGGUCACAUUAAGCAGCAAAAAUUUUCUGACAGAAGGGACAAAGAACAAAAAUGUUCUGACAAAAGGGAACGUCUCCUGACAAUGAAUUUAUAAUGCACUUGUGAUUCAUGUGCAUAGGUUGCUGUUGAUGCUGUAACUGUGAGGAUUUGCACCCUUGUUACUCUGAGCCAUCCUAGAAGUGCUUGUGACUGUGGACUGAAAUACAGCUGAGUUCUGCUAAUUGUACCACACUGUAUGCCUUCCCUUCAAACACAGCAACAGGGAGCUAUAAAAAUCAUACAGAUCCUUUUUUUUUACAUAAUAGAAAUGCUACAGAAUUUAGUUGUUAGUAAAAGACAACAUGUGAAAUACUCCACUAAAAAGUCCCCGUGCUGCUCAGGAAAGCACUACUGACACUCAUGUUUGACUCUGAGUACCAAAUUCCUGAAGGGCUUAUCCUGUUUGGCCCAAAUUCAGAGAACAGUUAUUUGGUAGCCCAGAGGAAUGUAAAGCUUAUUUUAUUUUAAGACCCCAAGAGUGCAGGGCAUCGGAAACCUGGCAAAACAACAGCUGAGAAAUGGAAUUUGAAAAUACCUUUGAGAUUAAAAAAAACACCGCAAUGAGAAAAGAGCUUUCUAAGUUAAAGGAUAACUUUGCACCGCCAAAAAAACCCCAAAACUUUUAAACCUUCUUUUAACAGAAGUUAAAAGCUCUCUAGCCAUGCAAGGAAUGAGAGUACUAAGAAUAUCUGUAAUAGGAGGAAUAAAGCAAGAUUCUCUUUUUUUACUAAAUUUGACACACCUAUCUAGCAAUACUUGCAAUUGUGUUCACUAUAACUGAAAGGGCUGCCUUGGUUCAUCUUUUGAUUUGUGUUUGGAUUUUUCUUGUUUUAAUGCAGAUAAUGUAAUGUAAACCUGCAUCUAAAAUCCAAGCAACACCUGUAAGUAAGGAGUGUCCUUCAGAUGCACAGAACAAAUCCCAGGGGUCAGGUGGCUCCCAGGUGCCAGCUCUGAGCGAGGACAAAGGCAAGGAGCUGGAGUGAACUCAGUAAAUGGGUUACAAUAACCUGGAUGAUGUCAUUACAUCUCCUAGCAACUCUGAGGGGACACACGAAUUAUCACCACCAGUGGUUCAUGAAUACUUUCCCUCACACUGAUUUGCUCAUAUUUCUAGUCUGGAGUCAUUGUACUAAUACAGCUGAAAUCUUUCUUUCAUAGAAAAAAUAAUAUUUCAGUGAGAGUGGAUUCCCUGUCCUAAAACCAGCAAGAAUUUAUGACCCUUACUCAUUUUUGGCUUUGUUAUCUCAUUGCUUUCUGCAGUCUAUCAGUGACAGGUUUGAAUUUUAAUUUGUAAUAGAUAAAACCUUGAAAGCAGCUGUUGCCCAGUGCUGGAAGAAAGUGUGUCAAGAUCAGUAAUUGGGGAAUUCAGACAUUUUACCUAGUUUUUUUCUACAACUCUGAUCACAACUGUAUAGAGGCAAAAUAGAAAUUCUUUGUUAUCUGGAAUUCAGAAAGACACAUGACAACUGCUAACAAACUGGUGUUAUUUCCUAGACAGUAGGAAAGCAAGCACUGAAUAUGAAAAUAAAAAGUGAAGGGAAAAGAAAAACCAUGUGAGGGUGUGGAAACAGUGACUGUCCUGUGCUGCCCUGGACCUGAAAGGCAGCCACAAAGGCAGAAAUGCUUCAGGCGUGACACCUGCACUCCUCUGCUGGUGUUGUACAGCCCUAAAGACACCCAGCCAGCCUGGUGAGGAGGCUGCAGGGGUGCUCACGUGCCACUGCAGCUCCCCUAAGCAGGCUGCUGAGUUACCCUGCUCCUGCUGGGCUCUUCUGGGGGGAGUUGAGCCAUCUGACGAUCUAAAAAUCCAGAAGAAAUAAAGCAUACCUUCCAGCUCUAACACUUGGCAUUUCAUGGUGAUAAGUAACUCAUAAGUUACUUAAACUAACUAUAAAUAAAAAAUAUAUGCGAAACCAAAAAUCACCUUCAAGCUGAGGCUUUGCAGAGGCCAAAACAGCCAGUGUUAGGGGUAGGGGGCAGAGAAGAAGGUACAGCAAAAGCAUGGAUUCUGUAACUCUGCAGAGGGUGGAGAACAAACCAUUGUGGAGCCAGACAAGUCUGUCCUUCCUAAGCUAGUGCUGAGACCAAGCACCUGCCCAGAGCAGCAGAGCUCUGUGCCAGUGCCUCCAUCUUGUGUUCCCACAGCUCAUGUGGAGCAGCUGCAUUGCUGCUGGGUAAUUUACCCAGGUCAGUCAGGAGAGGACAAGCCUGCACCUCUGCACUGCUGCCUGCACAGCUGGCCUGGCUUUGCCUGGCACACAGCUCAUGCUCUCCACAGUGCUCUGCUGGAUUAAGAGUGGGAAGGAAGGUGGCACACAAGGACCUUUCAGUCUCCCACUCUCUGCCAGAGAGCAGUGCACAGGCAGC